GACGAACGCUGGCGGCGUGCUUAACACAUGCAAGUCGAACGGUAACACCAAGAUUUUUUCUUCUUCUCGAAUGGCGAACGGGUGAGUAACAAGUGUCUAACCUGCCCUUUACUUUAGGAUAACUUCUAGUAAAUAGGGCUAAUAACAGAUCAGAACUUCUGAUGCCCAGUGGGGGGUGGAAAGUUUCGGCGGGUCGGGGUAGGCUCGCGGAUUAUCAGCUUGUUGGUGGGGUAGUGGCUUACCCAGGCUCUGCCGGGUAGCCGGCCUGAGAGGGUGACCGGCCACAUGGGGACUGAGAUACGGCCCAGACGCCUACAGGAGGCAGCAGGGGGGAAUAUGGCACAAUGGGCGGAAGCCUAAGGCAGCAACGCCGCGGUCGUGAUGACGGCCUUCGGGUGGUAAACCGCGUUCGCCUGUGACGAAGCGUGAGUGACGUUAAUGGGUAAAGAAGCACCGGCUAACUACGUG
rnacentral:rRNA from 1 species